rnacentral:rRNA from 1 species
CCUACGGGUGGCAGCAGUGAGGAAUAUUGGUCAAUGGACGAGAGUCUGAACCAGCCAAGUAGCGUGAAGGAUGACUGCCCUAUGGGUUGUAAACCUCUUUUGUCAGGGAGCAAUUGGCGCUACGUGUAGCGUUAUCGAGAGUACCUGAAGAAAAAGCAUCGGCUAACUCCGUGCCGGCAGCCGCGGUUAUUAGGAGGAUGCGAGCGUUAUCCGGAUUUUUUGGGUUUAAAGGGUACGUAGGCGGUAUUCCUAGGCAGCGGUAAAAUCGCGGGGCUACACCUCGCUCCGCCGUUGAAACUGGCGGUCUUGAGUGGGCGAGAGGUAUGCGGAAUGCGUGGUGUAGCGGUGAAAUGCAUAGAUAUCACGAAGAACCCCGAGUGCGAAGGCAGCAUACCGGCGCCCAACUGACGCUGAGGCACGAAAGCGUGGGUAUCGAACAGGAUUAGAUACCCUGGUAGUC